rnacentral:rRNA from 1 species
CCUACGGGAGGCUGCAGUGGGGGAUAUUGCACAAUGGGGGGAACCCUGAUGCAGCGACGCCGCGUGGGUGAAGGAGUGCUUCGGCAUGUAAAGCCCUAUCGGCAGGGAAGAAGCAAGACGGUACCUGACUAAGAAGCCCCGGCUAACUACGUGCCAGCAGCCGCGGUAAUACGUAGGGGGCGAGCGUUAUCCGGAUUCACUGGGUGUAAAGGGAGCGUAGACGGCCAUGCAAGCCAGGGGUGAAAGGCCGGGGCCCAACCCCGGGACUGCCCUUGGAACUGCAUGGCGGGAGUGCGGGAGGGGCAGGCGGAAUUCCUGGUGUAGCGGUGAAAUGCGUAGAUAUCAGGAGGAACACCGGCGGCGAAGGCGGCCUGCUGGACCGCGACUGACGUUGAGGCUCGAAAGCGUGGGGAGCGAACAGGAUUAGAUACCCUGGUAGUC